rnacentral:rRNA from 1 species
AUACGGAGGGGGCUAGCGUUGUUCGGAAUUACUGGGCGUAAAGCGCGCGUAGGCGGACCAGUCAGUCAGGGGUGAAAUCCCGGGGCUCAACCCCGGAACUGCUUUGAUACUGCUGGUCUUGAGUUCGAGAGAGGUGAGUGGAAUUCCGAGUGUAGAGGUGAAAUUCGUAGAUAUUCGGAGGAACACCAGUGGCGAAGGCGGCUCACUGGCUCGAUACUGACGCUGAGGUGCGAAAGCGUGGGGAGCAAACAGGAUUAGAAACCCUAGUAGUCC